rnacentral:rRNA from 1 species
GGGCUCAUCCCGAGGCCACGCCCGUCUGAGGGUCGGCUAGACCCAAAGCAAUCGUCUCCUAGAAUCGGGACGCGGCAGAGCGAUCGUUUACGGUGUGUGUCUGCGCGCGGAGAAGCUCUCUCUGCCGGACACCCCGUGCGACGUGUCGGCCCUUGCCGUAUGCGACCCGCGGAGGCGCCCUGGGCUCUCGAGGACUCUUUCGGGUCCCCGUGGCCUCAAAUUCAUGCAGCGCCGUCACUGCUCUUCGACCCGUUUAGCAUCGACGGCUCCGCCGCACGGCAGGACUCGGAUUGCGUAGCUUUCUCUCAAACGAGCCUGCCAGCAGCUCUUUAAGGCGACCGUGUGUUGUUAUCCUGGUGGAGCGAGCGCGGGUGACGCGCCCAAUUGCCAAAUGAUAGGAGAUUUCCUUUCACAUCUCCGACCUCAGAUCGGACGAGAUUACCCGCUGAAUUUAAGCAUAUAACUAAGCGGAGGAAAAGAAACUAACAAGGAUUUCCCCAGUAACGGCGAGUGAAGCGGAAAGAGCCCAGCACCGAAUCCCUCAGUGUCAUGCUGACGGGAACUGUGGUGUGAGGGACGCCACCAGUCGCACCAGAGGGUACCGAAGUCCUCCUGAUCGGGGCUUCACCCAGAGUGGGUGUAAGGCCUUUGCUGGUACCUCUCGGUGCGGCCGCGAGCGUCUCAGGAGUCGGGUUGUUUGGG